rnacentral:snRNA from 1 species
GCCCUAAACCAGAGGUUUAUGGAACGAUACAGAGAAGAUUAGCAUGGCCUCUGUGCAAGGAUGACACGCAUAAAUCGAGAAGUGUACCAAGUAAGC